rnacentral:rRNA from 1 species
GUUGUAAGGUUAAGAAAUUAAGCGUACACGGUGGAUGCCUAGGCAAUCAGAGGCGAAGAAGGACGUGUUAAUCUGCGAAAAGCGACGGUAAGCUGAUAAAAAGCGUAAUAGCCGUCGAUGUCCGAAUGGGGAAACCCAGUGUAGGAAACUACACUAUCAUCUAAUGAAUUCAUAGUUAGAUGAGGCGAACCGGGAGAACUGAAACAUCUAAGUACCCCGAGGAAAAGAAAUCAACCGAGAUUCCCUGAGUAGCGGCGAGCGAAAGGGGAGGAGCCCAAGCGGGUAGCAUAAAGUAUUAGUGGAAGCGUCUGGAAAGUCGCACGAUAGAGGGUGAAAGUCCCGUACACGAAGGUACGUUAUGUGGAAGCUUAUAGAGUAGGGCGGGACACGUGAUAUCCUGUCUGAAGAAGGGGGGACCAUCCUCCAAGGCUAAAUACUCCUGAUUGACCGAUAGUGAACCAGUACCGUGAGGGAAAGGCGAAAAGAACCCCGGGAGGGGAGUGAAAUAGACCCUGAAACCGUGUACGUACAAUCAGUGGGAGCUGUUACCGUUGGGUAAUAGUGACUGCGUACCUUUUGUAUAAUGGGUCAGCGACUUAUAUUCUGUAGCGAGGUUAACCGAAUAGGGGAGCCGAAGGGAAACCGAGUAUUAACUGUGCGUUAAGUUGCAGGGUAUA